rnacentral:tRNA from 1 species
GGCCUGAUGGUCUAGUGGUACGAUGCUUGCUUCGGGUGCAAGAGGUCCCGGGUUCAAUUCCCGGUCAGGCCC